UACGAAGGGGGCUAGCGUUGUUCGGAAUUACUGGGCGUAAAGGGCGCGUAGGCGGUACUUCAAGUCAGGCGUGAAAGCCCCGGGCUCAACCUGGGAACCGCGCUUGAGACUGGAGAACUAGAGUUCGGGAGAGGAUGGUGGAAUUCCCAGUGUAGAGGUGAAAUGCGUAGAUAUCUGGAGGAACACCGGUGGCGAAGGCGGCAUCCUGGACCAACACUGACGCUGAGACGCGAAAGCGUGGGGAGCGAACAGG
rnacentral:rRNA from 1 species